rnacentral:rRNA from 1 species
UGAUUAUGACGUACUUGUACUGAUUGAGAUUUUAACACGAAGUGAGUGGCGAACGGGUGAGUAACACGUGGGUAACCUGCCCAGAAGUAGGGGAUAACACCUGGAAACAGAUGCUAAUACCGUAUAACAGAGAAAACCGCAUGGUUUUCUUUUAAAAGAUGGCUCUGCUAUCACUUCUGGAUGGACCCGCGGCGUAUUAGCUAGUUGGUGAGGUAAAGGCUCACCAAGGCAGUGAUACGUAGCCGACCUGAGAGGGUAAUCGGCCACAUUGGGACUGAGACACGGCCCAGACUCCUACGGGAGGCAGCAGUAGGGAAUCUUCCACAAUGGACGCAAGUCUGAUGGAGCAACGCCGCGUGAGUGAAGAAGGGUUUCGGCUCGUAAAGCUCUGUUGUUAAAGAAGAACGUGGGUAAGAGUAACUGUUUACCCAGUGACGGUAUUUAACCAGAAAGCCACGGCUAACUACGUGCCAGCAGCCGCGGUAAUACGUAGGUGGCAAGCGUUAUCCGGAUUUAUUGGGCGUAAAGCGAGCGCAGGCGGUCUUUUAAGUCUAAUGUGAAAGCCUUCGGCUCAACCGAAGAAGUGCAUUGGAAACUGGGAGACUUGAGUGCAGAAGAGGACAGUGGAACUCCAUGUGUAGCGGUGAAAUGCGUAGAUAUAUGGAAGAACACCAGUGGCGAAGGCGGCUGUCUGGUCUGCAACUGACGCUGAGGCUCGAAAGCAUGGGUAGCGAACAGGAUUAGAUACCCUGGUAGUCCAUGCCGUAAACGAUGAUUACUAAGUGUUGGAGGGUUUCCGCCCUUCAGUGCUGCAGCUAACGCAUUAAGUAAUCCGCCUGGGGAGUACGACCGCAAGGUUGAAACUCAAAAGAAUUGACGGGGGCCCGCACAAGCGGUGGAGCAUGUGGUUUAAUUCGAAGCUACGCGAAGAACCUUACCAGGUCUUGACAUCUUCUGACAGUCUAAGAAGAUUAGAGGUUCCCUUCGGGGACAGAAUGAC